GACGAACGCUGGCGGCGUGCUUAACACAUGCAAGUCGAACGGAAAGGCCCUGCUUUUGUGGGGUGCUCGUGUGGCGCACGGGGGAGUAACACGUGAGUAACCUGCCCUUGACUUUGGGAUAACUUCAGGAAACUGGGGCUCAUACAGGAUAGGAGAUCCUGCUGCGUGGUGGGGGUUGGAAAGUUUCGGCGGUUGGGGAUGGACUAGCGGCUUAUCAGCUUGUUGGUGGGGUAGUGGCUGACCAAGGCUUUGACGGGUAGCCGGCAUGGGAGGGUGACCGGCGUCAUGGGGCCUAAGGGACGGCCCAGACUCCUACGGGAGGCAGCAGGGGGGAACAUUGCACAGUGGGCGGAAGCCUGAGGCAGCAGCGCUGCGUUCGUGAUGACGUCCUUCUGGUUGUAAACCGCUUUCUCCGUAGACGAAGCGUGAGUGACGGUAACGGGUAAAGAAGCACCGGCUAACUACGUG
rnacentral:rRNA from 1 species